rnacentral:rRNA from 1 species
CAGCAGCCGCGGUAAUACGUAGGGUGCAAGCGUUAAUCGGAAUUACUGGGCGUAAAGCGUGCGCAGGCGGUUUGUUAAGACAGAUGUGAAAUCCCCGGGCUUAACCUGGGAACUGCAUUUGUGACUGGCAAGCUAGAGUAUGGCAGAGGGGGGUGGAAUUCCGCGCGUAGCAGUGAAAUGCGUAGAUAUGCGGAGGAACACCGAUGGCGAAGGCGACUAUCUGGGCCAACACUGACACUGAGGCACGAAAGCGUGGGGAGCAAACAGGAUUAGAUACCCCCGUAGUCCCUGUCUCUUAUAC